rnacentral:rRNA from 1 species
UAGCAUAAUCAUUAGUUUUUUAAUUGAAAACUGGAAUGAAAGGUUAAAUAAAAAAUAAUCUUUAUUAAUUUUAUAAUUUUUGAAUUUGUUUUUUUAGUAAAAAAACUAAAAUUUCAAAAAAAGACGAUAAGACCCUAUAAAGCUUUAUAACAUAAAAUUUAAUAAUUUAUUAGAAUAUUAAAAUUAAUUUUUUUUUUAUUAUUUAAUUGGGGUGAUUAAAAGAUUUAUUAAACUCUUUUAUAAAACAAAACAUAUAUAAAUGUAUUUAGAUCCUAAUAAUUUUUAGAUUAAAAAAAUAAGUUACUUUAGGGAUAACAGCGUAAUUUUUUUGAAGAGUUCUAAUCGAUAAAAAAGAUUGCGACCUCGAUGUUGAAUUAAGAUAAAAGUUAGGUGUAGAAGUUUAAUUUUU